CCUACGGGUGGCAGCAGUGGGGGAUAUUGCACAAUGGGGGGAACCCUGACCCAGCAACGCCGCGUGAAGGAAGAAGGCUUUCGGGUUGUAAACUUCUUUUGACAGGGAAGAGUAGAAGAAGGUACAUGUCGAAUAAGCUACGGCUAACUACGUGCCAGCAGCCGCGGUAAUACGUAGGUGGCAAGCGUUGUCCGGAUUUACUGGGUGUAAAGGGCGUGUAGCCGGGUUGACAAGUCAGAUGUGAAAUCCUGUGGCUUAACCGAAGAACUGCAUUUGAGACUGUUGAUCUUGAGUACUGGAGAGGCAGACGGAAUUCCUAGUGGAGCGGUGAAAUGCGUAGAGAUUAGGAGGAACACCAGUGGCGAAGGCGGUCUGCUGGACAGCAACUGACGGUGAGGCGCGAAAGCGUGGGGAGCAAACAGGAUUAGAUACCCCUGUAGUC
rnacentral:rRNA from 1 species